GCCUUCGCACACUCCAACCCCGGGGCCUUCUGUCUUCCCUCUGAUUGACAGCAGCAGGGCCUGAGCCACGAGUGGGAGGCCCUGGAGGAGGAGGAGGUGGAGCGUGAGUGUGAUAGAACCGUUUAGGCCCCCACCCACAGGAAACACCUGGCCUCCAGGGCUCUGGCUUUACAAAGGAGCCCAGGGGGAGCCCGGGACUUCAGGGCCAGCACCGGCUGGGAUGUCCUGGGCGCCAAGGCUCUGUGGGGAAGGAGGGCCAGUCGGCCCAGGUGGCUCAUGCACAGCCUGGUACAUGUCAGCGAGUCAGCUUAGAUUUCCUCGUGGAUAUUUGGAGGGACGCCUGGCUCCUUGCAGGGGCUGAGGCUCCUAGAGACACUUCAAGCCCAAAGAGUCCACCUGUCCCACCAAGUGCGAGCCAGGUCUGCUAGACUCCAAACCAUCACCCCCUGCCUGUGGCCUGGCCUGCCCAUUUGAGGUGGUUUUUGGCAUAUUCACAGAUAUCUGCAAUCAUCACUUAAGUCAACUUUGGAGCAUUUCAUCACCUUGGAAAAAACCCAAGGCCUUGUGCCCUUUAGCUAUCAUCCCAGCUACGGUUUGAAUGUGACCCCAAAGGCAUGUGUUGGACAUGUAAUCCUCUAAUGCUUGUUUUAAGCUGGAGUGCAAUAGCACGAUCUCGGCUCACCGCAACCUCUGCCUCUGGAUUCAAG